CUGCCGCUCGUUCUGAGGGGAUGGCGGGGGAACGAGGACGGACGCUGAAGUAGCGGAGAAAGUUGUUUUUUGGGGGGGGUUGUUCCCGAGCGUGCCCCGGAAGGGAGAAAACACGUUGCCCGUUGCUUUUCUGGACCAAGUGUUUGGAGUUAAGCGCUGAUUUCCCAGCCGUAUUGAAGAGAUGUAGAUGUGGGGGCCUUAAGGGGCUGGUAAAGCAACGAGGACGUGGUCAUUCCUUGUGGUCACUUAGCGGUGAACUAGGCGGGGGUGGACGUGGAAUGAGACCAGAACCCAGAAGCUAAAGAUUCUGUGGGGACAGCCGCGUUUCUAGACAAGACGGAAGAAAGGCAGGGCAAGCUCUCUGGCCGGCCUUCUCCCAGGAGAAUGAUAGCUCGCUCGCUCUCUCUCCUUCCCCCUCUCUCUCCUUCCCCCUCUCUCCCUCUCCACCCCCCCACCCCCCUUUGCCUGUCUGCCUUCUCUCCCUGCCUUCCUCUCUCUCUCCACCCCUCUUUCUGAUUAAUCUUGCAGUCCAUGCCAUCAUUGGAUUUCUGCUCUGUGAAACAACUCUUUGGCUUCCACUAUGGACUUUCUGGUCCUGAGCACCAACCCCUUUGGAAGUUUACAGCUCUAUUCAGCACAUGACUGUGGGAGUCUUCUGCUGCAGAUGAUAUUUUGAGAAGCACGCCAUCUGGGAAUAGCAGUUUUUGAAGUAGAUACUUUCCCAGAGUUUUUGUGGUGUGCCUUUCCAAAGUAGUUGAAAAUAAUAAAUGGGUAAAUGUAUAUUUCUUAGCUAAUUGUCAGAUUGUACUCUUUUAAUUAGCCAUAAUGGUGUGCAUUUUUUCAUAACUACAGCUGUGUGUGAUUUUUUUCAUUAUUAUUUGAAAGGAUUUUUUUAAAAAAUUUAUUUAUUCAUUUGAGAGGUAGAGUUACAGAGUGAGAGAGAAAUCUAUUUUCCAUCCACUAAUUCACGCCCCAGAUGUCCACAACUGCUGAGACCGGCCAAGCUGAUGCCAAGAGCUUCAUCUGGGUCUCCAACAUGCGUGCAGGGAUCCACUGAAGUGGGCCAUCUUCUACUGUCUUCCCAGGCCAUUAGCAGAGAGCUGGAUUGGAAGAGAAGCAGCCAGACUCCAGCUGGCACCCUUAUGAGAUGCUAGCUCUGUAGGAACCGCCUAUGCCACAGAGGUGACCCCCUUGCAAGGCUUCAAGUCACGGAUUUCAAACAUUUUUGAGCUCAAAGACCUUUCUAAAAGUAUGAUGAAACUGAUGAGCCUCCCCUGAGGGUAUGGAGAUGUAAGAUGUUUAAAACACAAAACGGAGAGAAGGAAUGUGGCCCACCAGAGACACAUGGCAAGGUCUGGAGAAAUCUUCAGUUGUCAUCCAAAUCUGGGAGGUGCUCCUGGCAUGUAGUGGGUAAAGGCCUGGAACCUACAAAAUAUAACAUACAGGACAGACCCUGAAAUUACCCAGCCUGAGAUGUCAGCAGUGCUGAGGGUUGAGAAACCUGUUUCAUUGAGAUGUCAGGUGGUUCUCUGUUCCCCUGAGUCUCAUGCAUGAAUCCCAGGUUCAGAAUCCCUAAUUUCAGCAUCUGGGCUUUUAUUUUUCUUUAAGUUAAAUGGCUGUAAUAGUUCUUGUACAAAUCAGCAGUGACCCAACACAAAGAUGGCAGACUAAUGAUUGCUCUGUCUUCCAGUGUGUGCCACACCCUUGGUUAUUACACAGAGCUUUCACAGCUACCUCAUGUGGAGACAGGAGAUACGAUUGUAUAAAGACAAAAUAAUAAUAGGGAGAUUCAGACUCACCCCCACACAAUCUGCUGGGGGAAUUGGUCUAGGACACUUUCUCAGGCUGGGAGGUGCUCUGAGCACUUCAGAGGUAUGGCUGGGGAGACAUGAGUGGUAAUCAGCCUUACCACGACUGAGUCUUAGCCUUGUAUUAGCCAGUACUCCAAGGUUUAUUAAUACAAUGAUUUUUCUAGUCCUCAAGAAAGAAAAGAAAAGCUAUGAUGGAACAAUUAUUAUUUUAUGGAGAGGUUAAGUGAUGUGUUCAAAAACUUACAGCUAAAAAGCAAACUUUUAAAAAACAUUGUUAUUUGCAUAGUGUUAAAGUAAAUGCUACCAAAGAGAUGCUGCCUAAGAUAAAAAAAAAUAAGAGAUAAAGAGUCCAAAUAUUUAAAAUUCUAUCAGGAUGCAAUAUCAAUUAUUUGUAAAAGCAUAGUGUGUUAUAUACUGGGGCUCACAAUUCUCAUUGAAGUGAAGUAAUUUAGGUAAAUGAUCUUUCUGAGCCUACAUUAUCUCAUUUGAAAAAAGAGGUUAGAAUAGAUCAUUCCCGAAAAUCUUUUAGACUAUGAGUUCCACCAGCAGGAUUAUACAGGAAGGCUUAUAUUUGAGAAGGAGUUUAGGGAUCAUCUAGUCUUGGUCAAGUUCAUGAUUUUACAGAUGAACAACUGGAAGGUUAGCAUCUUUCCAGUGUCUUUUUGUUUUGUUUUGUUUUUUGUUUGUUUGUUUGUUUGUUUUUGGCAGGUAGAGUUAUAGACAGUGAGAGAGAGACAGAGUCUUCCUUCCAUUGGUUCACCCCCUAAAUGGCUGCCACGGCCGGAACUACACGGAUCCGAAGCCAGGAGCCAGGUACUUCUUCCUGGUCUCCCAUGAGGGUGCAGGAGCCCAAGCACUCGGGCCAUCCUCCACUGCCUUCCCGGGCCACAGCAGAGAGCUGGACUGGAAGAAGAGCAACAAGGUCUGGAACCAGUGCCCAUAUGAGAUGCUGGCGCCGCAGGCAGAGGAUUAGCCAAGUGAGCUAUGGCGCCGGCCCCAUCUUUCCAGUGUCUUAACCUAAGCUGAGCCUAGAAUCUAUGGAUCUUGAUUUCUUCUCUCAUUCUACUAUGUAAUUAUCUCCUCAAAUUAUAGAAUCUUCCAAAUUGCCCUUUGAUUUCCUGUAAGUAUAUUUUAUAAGCAAAAUGCAUCAUAAUGUCUUUGAAACCUUUGCAUUAAAUUUGCUUCUUCAAAGGAUCUUUAAAUUACUUCAUAGCCAUAAGUUCCCACAUAGCACAUGCUGCUUAUACCCUUCAUUCCAGGUUUGGCUUCCCAGUAUGUUUACAUAGUAGUCCCAUUGCAUCACAAGAUGAGAUCAUGAAAUUAAAAGUAUGUGGAAAGCUAUAAGGCAUUUAUGAAACACUCUUGGUGGACUACCCAAUAUUAAUUCCCAUCCCUCUAACCCCUGUUCACGAGACACUCUUCUUGCCUUCCUUAAAGCUAAUAGUGACCUCUUCUUAUUCUAGCCAAUGAAUCUGCUAAGAAAGCCUCUGAGGAAAACCAUUCUCUGAUAAAGAGGCAUGAGAGAACAAUUCCAUUACCAUCCUGGCUGUCUUUGGAUACUUUCUUGAAAGAUAUCAGGUGCUGGUGCUGUGGCACAGUGGGUAAAGCCAUCACCGGCAGUGCUGGCACACCAUAUGGGUGCCAGUUAGAGUCCCAGCUGCUCUAUUUCUGAUCCAGCUCUCUUCUAUGGCCUGGGAAAACAGUGGAAGAUGGCCCAAGUCCUUGAGCCCCUGCACCUGCGUGCGAGACCUGAAAGAAGCUCCUGGUUCCUGACUUCAGAUAGGCCCAACUCCAGCCGUUGUGGCCAUUUGGGGGAGAGAACCAUCAAAUGAAAGACACCUCUCUCUCUCUCUGUCUCUACCUCUCUCUGUAAUUCUGUCUUUCAAAUAAGUAAAAAUAAAUCUUUAAAAAAAAAAAUCUUGACUUUGAACUGUUCAGAGAUAGAGAUGCUCAGCAUUAUAAAAUGUCCUUGUGCAAAAAGGAUUCACUUAAAUGCAGACCAAAAAGAGAGAAAUGCAUGAAGAACAAUGAAAGAGAAUAAGGGGAUAACAGAAGACUCUAAAUAGGGACAAGAAAGUAUUUCUGACUACGGAGCUCAUCAGUUCUUUUUUUUUAAUCCUCAUGAUAGCAUAUCUUAAUUUUAUUAUUUCCUUUUUCAAAUUUUAUUUAAGUUAUACAAGUUUCAUGUAUUUCAUACAUACGGAUUUAGGAACAUAGUUUUACUUCCCUCCCACCCACCCAUGCUCCAGCCCUUCUUCCUCCUCCCUCUCCCAUUCCCACUCUUAAGUUUUACAGAGAUCUAGUUUCAGUUUACUUAAUGAUCAUAAGGUUAACCCUACACUAAGUAAAAGAGUUCAACAAAUAGCAUGAAGGAAAAAAACACUGUUCCUCAACAGAAGAGACGAGGGCUGUCGUCAGUUCUUUAUCAAUCAAUGAAUACAAGGGUGCUUCAAACAGUUCAUGGGAAAUGGAGUUAAAAUAUGUUUAUUGGGUUAGAAAAUGUAAAAUGCCUACAGGGGAUCUUCAGAAAGUUCAUGGAACAUGUGUAUUAUGGAAAAAGAAGCAUGCAUAGAUUUUUUUAAUUUGCAACAUAAUGGACAUCUUUUAAUUCUAUUUUCCCAUGAAAUUUUGAAGUACCCUUGUACAUCAUUUGUUCCUCCACAUAUACUGUGAGAUAACUCAAAAAAUGUUCCACAGACUGAAAAACUAGAGCCAUAGUUUUCAGAGCAGAGGCGCUGAGUCAGGCUUCGAUACUGUGAGGUUAUGGGAAAUUCUUCCUUUGUGCUACUUCCUUCUUUGCUUCCUUCCUUCCUAACUUACACUUUCCCUUCAGAUCCCCUUCUCCCUUCUAACUUCAGCAGGGUUUGCGGUUUGCGGUGAUGUUUUGUUGCAGUGUAUCCACCUUACACAAAGGAAAAAAAACCUCAGGGGACAAGUGACCUCUAGAUUUCCUGGUCUCCCUUUCAAAUAAGUAUUACUUUUAGAAUGCUAAUUCUCCUGUUUGUAUACCAAUGUGUACGAUAGCUAUUCAACAGUGCAGUACUUUGGAAUUGCCUGUUUCAUGUAUUUGAUAGAUUUAAGACACUAUCCACACCCACCCUGUAAAGGUUAUCUUUGUCUAGUUUUGUACAGUUUCUAAACAUAGUGAUUUGUAUAACUGUAUUCCCCAGGAACUCUCACAGAAAUAAGGUUACUGUAGUCUAUGACCUACUCCCAGUGGUACUGUCUGAAUUAUUUAUUUAAAGUUUGUGAAUUACUUUGGAAACAUAAAAUGUCAUAUAAUUUCUGUAUAUUAUUCUUUUAUGAAUUAAAAUAGCAUACACAUUUUAAAUCAAUAACUUAUUCAUAAGAAGAAAAAGUGUGAGGUGUUAAAUCACAUUUAACAUAGCAAAUACUUCACAUUAGACCAUCAAAGUGGAAAAUGACCAUAAUACAUCAUUCACUUAUAUACAUAUAUAUUUGCUACAUAACUCAGUAUGCAUUUAAAGGCAGUACAUAAUUAUAUUUAAUAUUGAAUCAGUGUCAUGCUUGUGCUACUUUUAAACUAUUUUUCUUUCAGUAUUAAUAUCAUCUCAGCCUUAUUUUAACAUUACAACUUUGUUUUUGUUUUGCACAUUUGCAUAGUACAUAGAUAGAUGAGUAUUAUGAGGAAUACAGAAAGAGAUAAGACCAUGGUGUUGAUGAUAAUAUUGGCCCCCAGUCAGUUCUAACUUCUGAAAGAUUCCACAAAGCUGUGUUUCCAUAGUAUUUUUUUUAAAGAUUUAUUUACUUAUUUGAAAGUCAGAAUUACACAGAGGAGAGGCACAGAGAGAGAGAGGUCUUUCAUCUGCUGGUUCACUUCCCAAUUGGCUGCAAUAGCUGGAGCUGGGCCUAUCUGAAGUCAGGAAACAGGAGCUUCUUCCAGGUCUCCCACGCAGGUGCAGGGGGCCCAAGGACUUGGGCCAUCUUCCACUGUUUUCCCAGGCCAUAGCAGAGUGCUGGAUGGGAAGUGGAGCAGCCGGGACUUGAACUGGCACCCAUAUGGUGUGCCAGCACUGCAGGCGGCAGCUUUACCCGCUAUGUCACAUCGCCGGCCACCUCAUAGUAUUUUAAAAUAUUAAAUCUUCCUGUCAUCAAAAUAAGAAGCAUUUCAAGGAUCAAAUUUACCAAAAAACAACAGAAGAGAGUCAGAAAAAGAAAAUAAUUAAUUUGGGAUUCUAAUAAUAAUCAGGGUUUAACAAACACUGUUUCCUGAAUUAAAUAAUCACAUUACAGUGAAAUGGUACCUCUGUAGUUUUCAUCAGGAGGCCUUUUCCUCAACACAUCCACACCUGACUUAUCUCACUCCUCUGAGCACCUAGGGCAGCUGGAGAAUUGGGGAGACGGCCUCCCACACACCCAGUGUGCUCAGUUCACCCUGCUCUUCUUUCUGGGUGAGACUCCUGUAGUUCCUUUCUACAACCCUGGAAUGCCUGCCCUCCCCACACUGCAGAGACCAACACAAGUGGACACAUCUGCUCAGCUCCGGGAUUCAGUGCUGACGCUCCCUUGUCCCCUCAAUAAGCUAUAUCCCCUGGUUGAGCUGUUAACAAGUGAGAAACAUAACCAAUGUUAUGUUUGCAACCUAACAGUUAUUUUGCAAUGCAAAUACGGAGGAGGAGUACUCUUUAUUGGACCCCUUCUGCAAACCCACUGUGAAGACCCCAAGGUGAAUGUUAGCACAUUCGUUUCAGUGUUAGUUAGCUGUUGUGUGACCAAUAUGCCUGCAACACUGGGGCUAUACUAAUGGGAUCAGAGAGAAAAGGGGGAAACUAAUUUUCAGCAAUUAGCAUUGGCUUGAACAUCCAGAGAGUGUAUCUUAAUGUUUCAGGUGAUGGAUAUACCAGUUAUUUCAUUGUAAUCCUUCCAUGUUGUUUAAAUGUACUGGAAAUCACACUCUACUCCAUAAGCAUGUACAAUUAUUAAAUGUCCGUCAACAAUAAAUACAAGAUUUUUAAAGAAGAAUGCAACUUAAAGGGUAUACUUGGUUGACCUGCCAACUAGCGUGAAUCAGCAGAUGAAGAGAGAAAGCUAUGUUAACUAGUUAGAUUUUUGAAAGAGCAGUGUGUCUGAACUUGGGCAAGAUGACAAGAGGCAGAAGAUAGCCUGAAUGAAAACAGAAUUAAUGGCUUAUACAGUAUCAGCCAUGCCAGCAGGUAGACUAGGGUGGAGGAGGAAGGAGAGAGAGACAGAGACAGAGGCCAAGGGAGAGGAAGACAGAGGCAGGAGGACAGAGAGGCCUAAAACAUCAUGUGAUAAACUGACAUGUUGAAGCUGGACAAGUCCCAGAAGCCCAGUUUUGACAGGACUUUCUCCAACCCAUCCCUGCAGCAGCUCAAAAAACCAAUGCAGUGAGGCCCCUACCUUGCUGCAUAUUCCUUGGAGAAACCCUUCUGAAUGAGCUGUGGGCCCCACACUAGCAUUCAAACCUCAGGUGAGGGGAGACUUUUUUACCUCCCAAAUAGGAACACACCAGGUGGCAGUUUCCCUCAAGUCUUAGAGGGUGGUAAGGGAGGGGUAUAGCAUUUUAGCACUUCCUGACAAUCCACCCAAGUGGAAUUCUGGGCCUCCUGAUGGGACAGCCCCCUGCCAAGGGGAGUCUCACAGGGGCUGCUCUGUGCUUGGGAAUCUCUUCCUGCUGUCAUCUUGCACAGCCAGGAAGUCUCUCUUCCUAGGUCCUCUUUCAAUUGCACUUCCUGCACCAGGAACUUCUGAGCCCCUUAGCACCUCUCUAAGGAGGCCCCUGGUAACCCAAGUCUGUGUUGUUUGAGCAUUUCAGUGUCUGUUUUAUCUCACUCUCACUCAACCUUCGGGGGGGGGGGGCGGGGGAUCGAUUAAAGAGAAAGUUCUCUUGCUAAAAGGACUUGGAUUGGAGCCUUUUUCAAGAAUUAACUAAUUUAAACAUCAGUCUUCUUAGAAACAUAGCAUAAAUUUACUUACCAUCAAUUCCUAUACCAUUUUCCAAGUUGUUCUUUAAAACAACAACUUUUCAUCUAGUUGGAAUGAAUUCUGUAUUGUCACAGAGAUACACUUUGACCCAAAAUAUUAAGAGAAAGCUCUCAUAAUUACUCAUUUAAAAAAGAACACGUGUAAGUCACUGUCACACUGCCUUCAGACAAGUCUGCCUUUUCCAAAAGGAGUGCGAACCAGCCCCUGACAACCGUCAUUGGAACACACCGUGUUUAUUGGUGGAAAGAACAUGACUCAAACACCUGAGUCCAAAUGCAGAGUCUGGAUCUUGAACAUACUAAUGCUGACCCAGAUACCACUUCUGUUGUAACCAGUUGACACUAAGCAAUGUCUUUACCUAUCUAAAUUAUUUACCACAUAACCGACCAUUUGCCUGAGGUGACAAGAAUCAAUACCUCAUUCAUAUCAGUAAGUGUUGGCGCUUGAGUUAAUAACAGUGUGCGCAUUACAAUGUGAUUUUCAAGAAUGCUGAGUAUCCAUUUCCUUGUAUCAGAAGCCGCCUAGUGGUAGAAAGGCAGCAAAAAAGAGGACUGGAUCUUCAUUAAUUUUUCUUCCAGGUAUAAGAGUAUCUGUUAGAAUGCAACUCAACUUUGACUUUUCUAUCAAUAAUUGGCAUUCCAAAUGCCUUUGUUCUUAACACAUUAACACGGGCACAGGUUUCGUUUAAUAUAGGUAACUGAUGAGAGUAGUGAGCCAGGGGAAGCCCACAUUAUAUCUUUGCUAUAAAUUCCUUGUCUUUUAAUUACAUUAUUAGUCUUUUGUUUUUCACCUGUGUCCUCUAAUUUCUUUCAUGUCAUGAUGCUGAUGAUCAGAAAUGAUGAACAAUUUACUUACUAUUAAAUUUUAAAUCUUUGCUUAUCACCUGCCUUUGUUCCAAAAACCAUCAAAGCCCUAAAUAAACCAGGCUAUAUCUUAGAAAACAAACAUUUAUGGUGUAGUGAAAAGAGGAAAAAAACCAAUUUCCUUGAUUCAAAGAAGUGUAUGAGUCUGCUUAAAAAGAACAGAGAAUAGAUGGCCCCAACUUGAAUUUUUGCUGGAAAGAAGCAAGAAAGAGAAAGGCACAAAAAGCAAAAAGCAGCUCCACGUGAGAUCCAAAUACAGAGGCAGAUCAGGAACACCCAGUUCUGGGUCUCUUUGAGCUGACAAAUUGUGUUUGAUCUUGGACAAGAAGCCAUGUAGUAUAAGUGAUGUGAUCAUCAUGUUCUCUUCUGCAAAUAAAGUUUUGUGGUUGUCUUAGCUUUGUUAGAGCUGGUACAGCAAUAUAUCCUAAAUAGGAUGGCUCAUGAGUGACUGACAUUUAUUUCUCAGAGUUCUGGGGGCUGGGAUACCAAGAUCAAGAUGAUGCUGGCAUAUUCGGUGUCUGAUGAGCGCCAGCAUCCUGGUUCAUAAACAGCUUUCCUCUCUUGCUGUAUUGUCACAUGGAAGAAAGCGCAAAAGAACUCCUGGGUCUCUUUCUUUCCUUUCUCUCUCUCUCUCUCUUUUUUUUUUUUUUUUUUUUUUGACAGGCAGAGUGGACAGUGAGAGAGAGACAGAGAGAAAGGUCUUCCUUUGCCGAUGGUUCACCCUCCAAUGGCCGCUACGGCUGGCGCGCUGCGGCCGGUGCACCGCGCUGAUCCGAAGCCAGGAGCCAGGUGCUUCUCCUGGUCUCCCGUGGGGUGCAGGGCCCAAGCACUUGGGCCAUCCUCCACUGCCUUCCUGGGCCACAGCAGAGAGCUGGCCUGGAAGAGGGGCAACCGGGAAAGAAUCCGGUGUGCCGGCGCCGCAAGGUGGAGGAUUAGCCUAUUGAGCCACGGUGCUGGCCACCUGGGUCUCUUUCAUAAGGCCACAGUCUCAGUCAUGAGGGUAAUGCCCUCAUGAUGACCACCCCCAAAGGCCACACCUCCAAAUACCAUCCCAUCAGGCACUAGGUGUCAACUUAUGAAUUUUGUGGGAGGGAAGGCACGAUCUAUAGAAAUGAUUAUUUAAAGUUUGUGCGAUGAGACUGAAAAAUAAACAGCCACCAACAGUCACUCAGGUUGCUACCAAUAAAUUCCUUGCUGUAGUAUGUUAACUGCAACUAUCUGAUGCACCAUUUUGUCUAACAUUUUCUGCAUAUUCCUAUUCCUGCUUAGAUAAAAAUAACACCACUUUAACAUUUUUAAAGCCGUGAUAAUGAUUCUAUUACAAUAAUCAAUGUUGGGGAAUGAUAUCCCAAUCUGUUGCCAAGCUUCCCAAGGUAUUAAUCCAAACCAUAAGAUUUAAAUCAUAUACUUCCUUACUCAGUUUCUACAAAUUUUUUUUUCCUGCUAUCUUAGAAUUCAUUUAGUAAAAAAUAAUCCAACAUACUCAAAUGGGCAAGAUUAGUUUGCUAGGUGCACACCAAGGUCAAGACCUUAAACAAUAAAGCUAAAUAUAGUUCCUUUUUUUGUUUUAUUUAUCUUUUUUAAAAAAAGAUUUAUUUAUUUGAAAGGCAGAGUUACCAAGAGAGAGGUAGAGAAAAAGAGAGAGAGAGAGAUCUUCCACCCACUGGUUCACUUUCCAAAUGGCCGCAACGACCAAGGCUGGGCAAGGCCAAAACCAGGAGCCAGAAGCUUCUUGUGGGUCUCCCAGGAGAAUGCAGGUGCCCAAGUGCUUGGGCCAUCUUAUACUGUUUUCCCAGGUGCAUUAGCAGGUAUCUGGAAUAGGAAGUGGAGCAUCGGAACUCGAACCUGAGCCCAUAUGGGAUGCCAGCACUGCAGGUUUUAUUUUAAAAGGAGAAAAACUGUUUAAUCUAGAUGCUUGUCCACACUUUCUUGGAUUAAGUGCUGAUGUAUAAUAAAGGUAAGUAGAAAUGUAAUGGCAUAGUUGACUUGACAUUACCAACACAGGUUUGAUCUGAUUUGAUGUAGUAGGAGAAACACCCCUUCUGUGGGGAGGGGAGGUUGUGAUUUAGACCAGACAGGUUCUGGGCAUUUGGGCAUUGCCACUCACUGGGAUUUUUUGUUUGUUUGUUUGUAUUUUACCUCAGAUAAGUUACUUAGUCUGCAUCUAAACCCCAAUUUGCUAAUCUACAAAAUAGAGACAAUAGUAUCUGCCUAUAGUGUUGUUCUAAAGCCUGAAUGAGUUAAUAUAUGCACUUAAAACAGUGCCUGGCAUGUAGUAAUAUUAAAUGGUAGCCGUUACUGCAGUUUUAAGAUUUCUUUUCUGCUAUCUUAUAACCAUAUUAGUAAGAAUAAUUCAACACACUCAAGCAUACCAUGAAAGUCUGAUCUAUCUUUUCAUGGUGAAUUGUUACAUUAAAUUGAGUUUUCUUUUUAAAAAAUGAUUAUUCAGUGGUGGGCAUUUGGUACCUGUGCUUGGAUAUCUAUAUCCCAUAGUGGUGUGUCUGAGUUCAGUUUCUAGUUUUACUUCUGAUUUCAGCUUCCUGCUAAUGUACCUCCAGGGAGGCAGUAGGUGAUGCCACGAGUGCUUGGAUCCUUGCCACCUACAUGAAGACCAGGAUUAAAUUCCAGGCUCCUGGCUCAGCCCUGACUCUUGGCCAAGUCGAAAUCAUGGAAAUGGCACGGUGUUGGUUAUUCCGGCGAACUGAGCUAGAAGCUGCGGGCUGUUACCCAAGAGCGACAUCUGCCGAGGUCCCAGGAGUAAGGUUUGCCAUGUUAGGAAGCGUCGCCCUGGGGCGCUGAAGCAGCCGACGGGAGUCACCGCUAAGGCACGAACGGAUUAUUUUGUAAAGUGUAGGGUUUCCUUUUUUAUUUUUUUAUUUAAAGAGAGUGUCAGAGAUUUGAAAGCGUUUUAAGGAACUUUCUCUCAGUUAAAUGGCAACAGCCCAGUAAGGCAGGCAACUUGGGAAUGUUUCCAUUUAUGGCUGAGAAACAGAUUCAGAGAAGUUUUGUCCAGCUCCAAGUCAAGCAAAGGGUAAAAUCCAGCCACAGAACGCAAGGCUGCAUCUACAGGAUGCUCUCUACUCCCCACAGCAAGUUCCUCACCUCUCAGUUAUCACAGAAGCGAUUCUACCGGCAAUGAUUACCCCCAUAAUGUCAGACUGUUGGAUUUCAUGUGUCCGUUUUACCCUGGCCUCUCUAUAUAAAGACCAGUAUGGAAAAUAACAAGGAAUGCUAUAAGAAACAAAGUUUGAAACGGGAAAGACUGAGUCACAGUUUCAAUAUUUAUCUGAAGACUUCAUCAUGAAGUAACAACAUUCUUUCUGCCAAAGAAAAUCCCUCCCAUCCUUGAAGGCCCGGCUGCCCGGCUCAGAAUUACUCUGGGAGUCCUGGUGCCCUGGCGCCUGCCUGCCAGCUGGCCUGCACUCCUGCAACCCCUGUGCUUCUGUAGCACGUUUCACUGCUUCUUUGUUUUCUGUUUUGAGGUGGAGCUGGCACGAGCACUAGAAAUAUACAUUCAUAUUUUUACUACAUAUAAAAUGACUCUCCAUCUCUUUUUCCCAUAUAGCUUUUUUCUCUACUUAAAUUUAACCUUCAAACUUAUUGAAAAUGACUAUUGAAACACUCGGUGUGGUUGUGCAUGUUAAAUCACUUAAAAGUCUGACAUUCAAAUGUCUACAAAGACUAGAUAAGGAGUCUAAAUGAAUAAAGUAAGCUCAAGUACAGGCAAA